CGUUAAUGUCAUGUCUCUCGGGCGAGGCUCUUAAAUCCCUGAAGAGCAAGUUUAAAUCAAUCACCGUAAUUAACGCUCAGCAUUGUACCGCUAGAAUAAAGAUUAGAAGGUACUAUUUUGGAGCAACCAAUUAAAUAGCGAUAAAAAUAUUCCAGUGGAUAUAAUGAUUACCAAGUAAAGCAAGGACUAAGAUAAAUAAUUCCCGUGUGAUUUGCAUCUUCGAAGCUGGAUUUAACCUCGAUCCAAACACGUGGAUGUAGUAAAUGAGAAUAGACGUAGAUGUUAGUUUUCUCGUCGACAUCGAACGGUUCUCACCGCUCCAGUGUACUGCACGCGCGUGAGAUCUGUUGUACAGUAGCAGCAGUCAGUAGCGAAGACGCGUCUCGUAGAUGGAAAAACAUUUUUUAGAGAAGAAAAAUUAUGUUGAUUAAAUUCACUUCAAGAUCCUAAAGGCACGUGCAGAGGCUUCUUUAUGAAUGGCAUAUUAUAACAGAGGGAGAAAAGGACUAAAGUAUUAUCUUAUAAUAAAAUCCACUUAAGCAUUUGCGGAUGCAAAAAAGGCUUCUGAGAACUGUCUGUAAAAGCUUUUCUGUAGCAGGAUAAAAAUGUCAGUC